rnacentral:precursor_RNA from 12 species
AAGAUUCUGGGUGGUGUUGGUUGGACUGGGUGGCCUCUGAGGUUCCUUCCAACUCUGAGUUUCUGUGACUGGUUUGAAAGGGAUCAGAGGUCAUUUGGUCCAACCCUCUUGCUUCAAGCCGGACU